UACGUAGGGGGCGAGCGUUGUCCGGAAUUAUUGGGCGUAAAGAGCUCGUAGGCGGCUUAGUAAGUCGGCGGUGAAAUACCGAGGCUCAACCUCGGCACUGCCGUCGAUACUGCUAUGGCUAGAGUUUGGUAGAGGAGAACGGAAUUCCCGGUGUAGCGGUGGAAUGCGCAGAUAUCGGGAGGAACACCCGUGGCGAAAGCGGCUCUCUGGAACGGUACUGACGCUGAGACGCGGAAAGCGUGGGGAGCGAAC
rnacentral:rRNA from 1 species